rnacentral:rRNA from 1 species
CAUGCCUAACACAUGCAAGUCGAACGGCAGCAUGACAUGUAGCAAUACAUGUUGAUGGCGAGUGGCGGACGGGUGAGUAACGCGUAGGAAUCUGCCUUGGAGUGUGGAAUAACCAGGGGAAACCCUGACUAAUACCGCAUGAUCUCUUCGGAGCAAAGAGGGGGACCGCAAGGCCUCUCGCUUCUGGAUGAGCCUACGUCUGAUUAGCUAGUUGGGAGGGUAAAGGCCUACCAAGGCGACGAUCAGUAACUGGUCUGAGAGGAUGAUCAGUCACACCGGAACUGAGACACGGUCCGGACUCCUACGGGAGGCAGCAGUGGGGAAUAUUGGACAAUGGGCGCAAGCCUGAUCCAGCAAUGCCGCGUGUGUGAAGAAGGCCUUCGGGUUGUAAAGCACUUUAGCCUGGAAAGAAAAAACUUUGGUUAACACCCAAAGUCUUGACGGUACCAGGAGAAUAAGCACCGGCUAACUCUGUGCCAGCCGCCGCUGUAAAAC